UACGUAGGGCGCAAGCGUUGUCCGGAAUUAUUGGGCGUAAAGAGCUCGUAGGCGGCUUGUCACGUCGGAUGUGAAAGCCCGAGGCUUAACCUCGGGUCUGCAUUCGAUACGGGCUAGCUAGAGUGUGGUAGGGGAGAUCGGAAUUCCUGGUGUAGCGGUGAAAUGCGCAGAUAUCAGGAGGAACACCAAUGGCGAAGGCAGCUCGCUGGAACGGUACUGACGCUGAGGCGCGAAAGCGUGGGGAGCGAACAGG
rnacentral:rRNA from 1 species